rfam:Inquilinus limosus MP06 Ilimosus_MP06_contig00017, whole genome shotgun sequence.
CGGCGGGCCACGUCCCCCCACCGGGACGCUGCUAUCUGGAAGGAUAGACAUG